ACCACACUCCUUUCCUCUUUGAUGUGUUGUUGUUUUCUCUAGCACUUACUGGAAGACACAUACAUACCUAUAUAAAAUAUAGGGUGUGUGUGUGUGUGUGUGUGUGUGUGUGUAAGAGCCUGGUCCAUGGGAGGUGCUCAGUGGCUAUGUGACGAAUGAACGGCUCAUAUUGUUGGUCCAGACAAAUGAGCGCAGGUGCGAAGCCCCGAUGCCAAGCAAAUGUUAUUUCCCAUUCUUCAUAUGCCCUUCUUUGCUUUAGGGAUUUCCUUUUUAAAGCCUAGAACCUAAAAACCAGUCAAGAAAUGCAGCAAAUAUAGCAGAAAGAGAUGUGUUCUGCCUCUAGCUCUUUCUGACCAAUCAACUCGGCUUCAAGGGCCUGGGGGAGCUCUUUUUCUCCCUCUACAGCUCUUCCAUUUAAAAUGGUAAUCCCAGGUCUCAUUUUGUAUUUUCUCCUGCACAAGGAUGUGAAGGUCACCCACUUAGAAAACUCUUCAGUUGAUGUGAAAUGCAUUUAGAAGCAGCAAUGAAGGCAGUAUAAAAGUGAAGAUGAAUUGAAGCUAUUUGUAUUCAGGAAAAAUGUGCUGGAGGAGUAAGGCUCUUCCAUACCUUCACAUGAGCAUGGGUCCCAGCAGGAGCUACUGAUUUCUUAAAUCUUUCAAAGUCUUCUUGGAGCCAUUAUAUCACCACUAAAAACAACCGACUGUUGAAUGGGAACAUGCAUUUAUUGGCUUCCCAAUACUCUUCAUGGUGUAAUAUGGAAUUGUCUGUCCUACACUACUAACUUGGGAAGCAAAAUAAGGGUUGUGCUGUACUGGACACGGUGCUAUGCAAUUUACAGACACUGUCGCAGAGAGAACGCAACCUAAGCAAAUACCAUCACCGCCCGUUGGCAUUUGACCUUUUCCUUGGAAUCCAAAAGCCACACGAUCUCAAUAUGUGUUCAGGUCAUGGAACCAGCCUGUUAAUUGAUCCAGAAACCAAUUUCUCGUUUUAUUUUUCGCUGCUGAUUAAACGCCCUCACCUGCCCUCUCCUGACCCUGAAAUAAAAUUUUCG
rnacentral:lncRNA from 1 species